CUCCUGGAAACGGGUGGUAAUGCCGGAUGCUCCGGUUGGAUGCAUGUCCUUCCGGAAAAGAUUUCAUCGGUAUGGGAUGGGGUCGCGUCCUAUCAGGUAGUCGGCGGGGUAACGGCCCACCGAGCCUACGACGGGUAGCCGGCCUGAGAGGGCGACCGGCCACAUUGGGACUGAGAUACGGCCCAGACUCCUACGGGAGGCAGCAGUGGGGAAUAUUGCACAAUGGGCGCAAGCCUGAUGCAGCGACGCCGCGUGCGGGAUGACGGCCUUCGGGUUGUAAACCGCUUUUGAUCGGGAGCAAGCCUUCGGGUGAGUGUACCUUUCGAAUAAGCACCGGCUAACUACGUGCCAGCAGCCGCGGUAAUACGUAGGGUGCAAGCGUUAUCCGGAAUUAUUGGGCGUAAAGGGCUCGUAGGCGGUUCGUCGCGUCCGGUGUGAAAGUCCAUCGCUUAACGGUGGAUCCGCGCCGGGUACGGGCGGGCUUGAGUGCGGUAGGGGAGACUGGAAUUCCCGGUGUAACGGUGGAAUGUGUAGAUAUCGGGAAGAACACC
rnacentral:rRNA from 1 species